GCGUGCUUAACACAUGCAAGUCGAACGAUGAUCUCCAGCUUGCUGGGGGGAUUAGUGGCGAACGGGUGAGUAACACGUGAGUAACCUGCCCUUGACUCUGGGAUAAGCCUGGGAAACUGGGUCUAAUACCGGAUACGACCGCUCCACGCAUGUGGUGGUGGUGGAAAGCUUUUGCGGUUUUGGAUGGACUCGCGGCCUAUCAGCUUGUUGGUGGGGUAAUGGCCUACCAAGGCGACGACGGGUAGCCGGCCUGAGAGGGUGACCGGCCACACUGGGACUGAGACACGGCCCAGACUCCUACGGGAGGCAGCAGUGGGGAAUAUUGCACAAUGGGCGGAAGCCUGAUGCAGCGACGCCGCGUGAGGGAUGACGGCCUUCGGGUUGUAAACCUCUUUCAGUAGGGAAGAAGCGUAAGUGACGGUACCUGCAGAAGAAGCGCCGGCUAACUACGUGCCAGCAGCCGCGGUAAUACGUAGGGCGCAAGCGUUAUCCGGAAUUAUUGGGCGUAAAGAGCUCGUAGGCGGUUUGUCGCGUCUGCUGUGAAAGACCGGGGCUCAACUCCGGUUCUGCAGUGGGUACGGGCAGACUAGAGUGAUGUAGGGGAGACUGGAAUUCCUGGUGUAGCGGUGAAAUGCGCAGAUAUCAGGAGGAACACCGAUGGCGAAGGCAGGUCUCUGGGCAUUAACUGACGCUGAGGAGCGAAAGCAU
rnacentral:rRNA from 1 species